UAGUGGCGAACGGGUGAGUAACACGUGGGCAAUCUGCCCUGCACUCUGGGACAAGCCCUGGAAACGGGGUCUAAUACCGGAUAUGAGCUGGAACCGCAUGGUUCUGGUUGUAAAGCUCCGGCGGUGCAGGAUGAGCCCGCGGCCUAUCAGCUUGUUGGUGAGGUAAUGGCUCACCAAGGCGACGACGGGUAGCCGGCCUGAGAGGGCGACCGGCCACACUGGGACUGAGACACGGCCCAGACUCCUACGGGAGGCAGCAGUGGGGAAUAUUGCACAAUGGGCGAAAGCCUGAUGCAGCGACGCCGCGUGAGGGAUGACGGCCUUCGGGUUGUAAACCUCUUUCAGCAGGGAAGAAGCGAAAGUGACGGUACCUGCAGAAGAAGCGCCGGCUAACUACGUGCCAGCAGCCGNGGUAAUACGUAGGGCGCAAGCGUUGUCCGGAAUUAUUGGGCGUAAAGAGCUCGUAGGCGGCUUGUCACGUCGAUUGUGAAAGCCCGGGGCUUAACUCCGGGUCUGCAGUCGAUACGGGCUAGCUAGAGUGUGGUAGGGGAGAUCGGAAUUCCU
rnacentral:rRNA from 1 species